rnacentral:sRNA from 1 species
CCAGAUCUCCAUCGUUUCUUACGGUAAAGAAAAACCAGCAGUUCUGGGUCAUGACGAAGCGGCUUACGCUAAAAACCGUCGUGCCGUUCUGGUUUACUAAGAGAACAGUAUGAACAGUAACCUCAGACAUCACUUGUUG